rnacentral:rRNA from 1 species
UACGUAGGGUGCGAGCGUUAAUCGGAAUUACUGGGCGUAAAGCGUGCGCAGGCGGUGAUGUAAGACAGGUGUGAAAUCCCCGGGCUUAACCUGGGAACUGCAUUUGUGACUGCAUCGCUGGAGUGCGGCAGAGGGGGAUGGAAUUCCGCGUGUAGCAGUGAAAUGCGUAGAUAUCGGAAGGAACAUCGGUGGCGAAAGCGGCGCGCUGGACCUCUUCUGACGCUGAGGCGCGAAAGCCAGGGGAGCGAACGGG